UUCAACCACCGGCUGAAGGGGUUUCCAGCUUUAAAAGAUGGGAUUUGUUGCAAAUCAUGAACGACCCAAUUGAAGUGGUACCUCAGAAGUCGAAUGUAAUCUGUUCCGGAAGGACGUUUGACCUCCGAAGCGUCCGAUUUCCAAGGCGUGGCUUCUGACUGGCUCUUGCCAAUCAGAAGCCGCUUGUCUGCUGCAUUGGAUGUUUGGCUUCCAAAAAAUGUUCGAAAACGAGAACGGGGUUUUGACGUUCGGGAGGCGAAAUGUUCGGCAACGGAGACGAUCGAAAACCAAGGCCGCAAUAAUAUAUUCAGCAACACCCUGGUGCACCAUCAAGCCACGGAAUCUGCAUUCCAGACCGGCAGAAAAACCAGGACCCCAUCGCUAUGAAGCAAUGACAUACGGCAAUCCUGCGCCACAACAUUUCCCACCGUAAACCAGAAACCUUUUGAUCCUCCAGAUGUCUUUUGAGCUGCAGUUGUAUAACUGGGCUGAAAUUCUAAUUAUUUUUACAGGCAAUUCUCAUGAUUGUCUAACGCAACCCUUUGGAUCACUCUUGCGCAUGGGAGGAAUAGUGAUGUUAAAUUCUCGAGAAUAAUAUUUUGGAGAAUAUAUUCUCAAGAAUAUUCGUGAUUAAUGAGAUGUGUACAUUUAAAGCAGCUGUGCAGACGACAGAGAAUUUACAGUUUGUGGAGACUAUUCUCCGGAGAAUUUUCUAGCACAGAAUAUUCUCCGGAGAAUAUUCACACCUCACAUCACUAGGGAGGAAGGAGGAAGGUUAAGAUGUGAGGAGUAACAAGUAACCGAAGGGGUUAACUGUGUACUGUGUACCACCUGACCACUGAGGAAGAUAUCAUAUUACAGAAUGUGCCAGAAGUGUUUCUGUGUGUAUCAGUUGGUUUCGUUUUUGCCUGGGAGACGGUCGCAAGAUGUCUGCGAUCUCACCAGGUUGUUAGUUUAUUUUCUCUUUAAAAUAAACUCCAGUAGUUAUUAGAACACCUUGGACUCUGUGUGUUCUUAAGAGGCUUUUUAUCCAACGGCUAUACAAGUUUCCGCUGUGUGUGAGAAGAAGAAGAACUCUGCUGUGUGUUUUACUGCCAGCCCGGGUCUACGGAGCAGAGGCGCUAGAGAAAGCGUGCCGGGCGAUAAUCAGUGGCUCCUAAUUGAGUCAUAAACAACUCAAAGGAGUCCUAUACCCGUCACAUAAGAAA